GAUACGACCUGUGCUACGGUUCAGACAUAGUGCACCUAACGGCCGCCGUCCGACCCGCCCCCAUUAAUUUAGUUGUGCACGCCAGGCAAUCCAUACAGCCUCUCUCCCGAAGAUUCGUUCCCCUCUGCCUCCCUCUCAUCGUCUUCUUCACCCUCCUCGGCAAGGACCAGAUCGGGAAAAAUGACCACUUAUCUUCUUCUCCGGCCGACGGGUACUGCCGCUGAUCCAUUGGCGACAAGGUGGUCAACUUUAUCUCUCGAGCCGGGAUGCUGGGUCAUGCCAGUUUUUUGAGAUCCACGGACACGUUCACACGUACCUGCCGGAGUUGACUCGCCAUGGCAUGUCCCAGUCCCACGUGCUUCACCAUAGAUCCAGGCGCGAGCACAACUUCGUCCACAGCUGCCAGGCAAAGAUCCAACAAGCUCAGGGACGCCCCCCUGCGCUGCACCGCACUGCUGCUCGACGGACAGCCAACGCACGGUGCUGCUUUUGGCUUGCACCAACCAACUCCUUGUUGUGGCUAUCCUGUUCUUAAUCUUCCCGAGAUGAGCACUUAGUUUUAGUGUAGAGUCCUGUAAUGGGGAGAGUCUAAUUUCGUGAUUACAUUAAGUAGUACGAACACGUGUAAGCUGCAUGCUAAUGUCCUGUCUUUUGUUCUCCCACUGCUAUAUGUUAUUGUCGUGUCGAAGCAUGUAAUCAUGGUUAUCUCUGUAUAAUAUUAAUCAAGUUCUACCCUCAUGGCAGGCAUUUUUAUUGACGAUUUCUUAUGACUCACACUACAUUUAAUUAAUCAUAACCUCUCAUUUUUUUAUUCACUAUGUGUAGUCACAUCAAUCAUAGCCCAGGAGGAAGAUCUGUUAGGCGGAGAACACCUUCGAUCUUGGUGCACCAGCAGUCGCCGGCUUUUCAGCCUCAUUAUUUUCGCCGAUAUUAUGGCCUCGAGAUGUCGGAUAAAGGCAGCUGCGACGGGGAGACCGCUGAUGACAUCGUUCAUGAAGAUAGCCAAAAUUCAGCAGAGUGGUGACUCAGCUGUGCCACCAGCACCGACAUCUCGCAUGUCUGUCAAGCACACUAUUGAAGUCAUACAGACAUUCAAUGAGUUCAAGUGAUUACUUGUCACGAGCUUUGGCUUUGGCGGCAUGCUCGAACUCCAAAUGUUGCAGAAACUGAACCUCAAAUUCAGUACUUGGACAAUGAGCAAGGUCAGCACCACCCGAUGCGCCAUUGUCCUGGCUGAGAACAAGAUACUUAAGUUCUGAGCAUAGGAUGUUCACAAAGUCUUUGGAUUCCCAUGUAGACAUCGCAACAUAAAGGGUUGGGAUGGCCACAUCAAGCCAGAAGAAAUUAAGUUCAUAAAGUCGAUGUGCUUGUCGGCAAUAGACUCAUUGGUCAUGAACUGAUGUGCUUGCUUUUCCGCCAUUUUGCUCAGCCUGAUUGUCAAGCAGAUACCGGAAACCCCUAUCUAAGCUGGAGGCACCCUAUCGAACCUGAUUUCUCAACUCUGGUGUUGUCUGAUUCUGGUUUCUUCCACACGGUAACAAUACAGAAGUAGUUAUCUGCUGACUCGAUCAAGUAUGACAUAGCAUCGUCUCAAGCGUUCAUCACACCGGUGCCGCGCCCGGAAGGCUGGAUGAUUCUAGUGUGGGAUAUGCUACAAAAAGUAUUAAAUGUGACUGAUCCUCUUUAUGCCAAAAGUUCAACCAAUCACCCAUACAAGGAACGCGACGAAGCCUUGGCAUGGAAGCUGCACAAUGCAUUACUCUCGUGCCUUGGCAUGAAUUCUAUCCCGGAUGGCCAGCAACCAAGGAAAACUGGUGGAUCAAGCAUGAACCCACAACCGAUGACAUCUUCACGACGUAAGUGACACCAGGUCAGGACUACAUCCUUAUUGCUGAAAAGACUCACCCCUCGUUCCAUGUGGCACGCUUUCUGCAUUUUUGCAGCGACAAGACAGGUUUCUGCACAAUGCAUUUCCAACCUGGAAAUUGACACCUCCAUACAAAUUUGUUCACAGCACAACAUAUCCAAAAUACAGAGGGACAGCCUGCAUGAGUGCUUGAAGCUGCAGGGUAAUUUUUCCCAGAUUUCUAAGAAGGCAUUGUGGAAAGUCUUAGCACCUUCAGACUCCUUCGACGACUAGGAAUCCUCCUUCAUCACUCACCGGAGGAAAUUUCAUGCAUCACAUCCUGAUAGUUAUUUGUAGCUUCCCCGUAGAGUUUUUUGGGUUGUAAGGCAGUACAAAUACCAUGAACUUGCCAAAGCUAUGUUGGUUUCAGAUUCUGCCAGAACCUUGUUUAAUUUCUUAUCUGCUUCCCAUUGCUUUGAUCAUCUA